rnacentral:rRNA from 1 species
UACGUAGGUGACAAGCGUUGUCCGGAUUUACUGGGCGUAAAGAGCGCGCAGGCGGUCGUUCAAGUCGAGUGUGAAAGCCCCCGGCUCAACUGGGGAGGGUCACUCGAUACUGAUCGACUCGAAGGCAGGAGAGGGUAGUGGAAUUCCCGGUGUAGUGGUGAAAUGCGUAGAUAUCGGGAGGAACACCAGUGGCGAAGGCGACUACCUGGCCUGUUCUUG